GGUGAACGCUGGCGGCGUGCUUAAGACAUGCAAGUCGAACGGCAGUCUUCGGACUGUAGUGGCGCACGGGUGAGUAACGCGUAACUGACCUACCCCAAAGUCGCGGAUAACGAUUCGAAAGAAUCGCUAAUACGUGAUGUGCUGUCAGAUUGGGUUCUGCCAGUAAAGAUUGAUUGCUUUGGGAGGGGGUUGCGUUCCAGCAGCUAGUUGGUGGGGUAAAGGCCCACCAAGGCGACGACGGAUAGCCGGCCUGAGAGGGUGGCCGGCCACAGGGGCACUGAGACACGGGUCCCACUCCUACGGGAGGCAGCAGUUAGGAAUCUUCCACAAUGGGCGAAAGCCUGAUGGAGCGACGCCGCGUGAGGGAUGAAGGUCUUCGGAUCGUGAACCUCUGAAUCAGGGACGAAAGACACUUCGGUGGGAUGACGGUACCUGAGUAAUAGCACCGGCUAACUCCGUGCCAGCAGCCGCGGUAAAAC
rnacentral:rRNA from 1 species